UACAGAGGGUGCAAGCGUUGUUCGGAAUUAUUGGGCGUAAAGGGCGCGUAGGCGGUGCUGUAAGUCUGUAGUGAAAUCUCUGGGCUCAACUCAGAGUCUGCUAUAGAAACUGCAGUGCUGGAGUGUGGGAGAGGUGAGUGGAAUUCCCGGUGUAGUGGUGAAAUGCGUAGAGAUCGGGAGGAACACCUGUGGCGAAGGCGGCCCCCUGGGCCGGCCCUGACACUGAGACGCGAAGGCGUGGGGAGCGAACGGG
rnacentral:rRNA from 1 species